CCCACCAUUAGCCCUCACCUGUGCCCACUUCUUUGCAGUUUGAGAAACAUUUUCGAUUUCAAAACUCCAUUGGCUUCAUGUAAACUUCAUUUACUGGGCACCUGGCACCUUGCUGAGUCUUGAGGAAUCAGCAGAGACAAUGCGGUCCCUGCUGUCGUGGAGCUGGCAUCCUGGUGGGAAGAGACAGACAGCAAACAAAUGGUUAGAUACAUGACGAAGAUAAUUUUAGAGCAGUAAGUGCUAGGACGAAAAUUAGCAGGUGAAGUGACGGCUAGGGCUCCUUGGCUGGUGGAGAGAGAAGGAGGCCUGUCUGUGCAAAGAUCUAAAUAGCAAAAGGAACCGCCAUGGGUAGAGUCUGGGAAGAGCAUUUUGUUCUUUUAGAGGCAGGGUCUUGCUGUGUUGCCCAGGCCGAACUUGAAUUCCUGGCCUCGAACAGUCCUCCCACCUCAGCCUUCUGAGUAGCUGGGACUACAGGGGCCUGCCCUCCUGGGAAGAGCAUCAUUGGCAGAAAGAACAUCAAGUGCAAAGGUCCUGAGGCAGGAGAGAACUUGGGCAGAGGGGAGCUGGUCAAGGCAUCAGAGCUUGUGGGUGACCUGGGACAAGUGAAUCCUGCAUCUGCAAAAUAAGAUAGGAAAAUCAAGGCUCAGAGAGGUGAAGUCACUGAUCCAAAGUCACAUAGCAGGUCAUGUGAGUGCCCAGAGCCCUGUGGCAAGAAGCCUCUGCCAGGGAAAGGGAUGCGGGGAAGUGGAGGCAGUGAUGGGGAAGCAGAGCCAGGAGAGACCCUUGGGCUUCUUUCCUUCAAGGCCUCUGGUCUCUAGCAGAGAGAAGAGAGGGAGCAGUGCUCUCUUGCCCUUCUGCCUUCCACCAUGGGAUGAUACAGCAUGAAGACCCCCACCAGAUGCUGGUGCCAUACUCUUGGACUUCCCAGUCUUCAGAAGCAUGAGCCAAAUAAAUUUCUAUUGUUUACAAAUUA